rnacentral:rRNA from 1 species
CCUACGGGUGGCAGCAGUGGGGAAUAUUGCACAAUGGGGGAAACCCUGAUGCAGCGACGCCGCGUGAGCGAUGAAGUACUUCGGUAUGUAAAGCUCUAUCAGCAGGGAAGAAAAUGACGGUACCUGACUAAGAAGCCCCUGCUAACUACGUGCCAGCAGCCGCGGUAAUACGUAGGGGGCAAGCGUUAUCCGGAUUUACUGGGUGUAAAGGGAACGUAGACGGCUGAGCAAGCCAGAUGUGAAAGCCCGGGGCUCAACCCCGGAACUGCAUUUGGGACUGUGUGGCUGGAGUGUCGGAGAGGCAGGCGGAAUUCCUGGUGUAGCGGUGAAAUGCGUAGAUAUUAGGAGGAACACCAGUGGCGAAGGCGGCCUGCUGGACGAUGACUGACGUUGAGGCUCGAAAGCGUGGGGAGCAAACAGGAUUAGAUACCCCUGUAGUC